CCCUUAGAUGUUCUGGGCUGCACGCGCGCUACACUGAAGCGUUCAACGAGUAUUCACCUUGCCCGGGAGGGUUGGGUAAUCUUUUGAAAACGCUUCGUGAUGGGGAUAGAUUAUUGCAAUUAUUAAUCUUCAACGAGGAAUUCCUAGUAAGCGCGAGUCAUCAGCUCGUGCUGAUUACGUCCCUGCCCUUUGUACACACCGCCCGUCGCUCCUACCGAUUGAAUGGUCCGGUGAAAUGUUCGGACCGCGACAAGGCGGACGGUUCGCUGUCAGCUUUGCUGCGGGAAGUUCAUUAAACCUUAUCAUUUAGAGGAAGGAGAAGUCGUANCA
rnacentral:rRNA from 1 species